rnacentral:lncRNA from 1 species
CAAAAAACCAAAACCAAAACCAAAACCAAAACCAAAAAAAAAACAAAACAAAAAACAAAAAAAAAAACCAGGUCCUUAUUGACAUUUUCCUCGCUCUUUGCUUUUAGGAAAAAGCAGCAAAUUCCAACAAGAGAGAAGUAUCACUGGAUGGCAAACGGAGAGUGGGGUCCCAGCCUCACUCUGAGGGCAGGCUGAACACCUUAGGGACCAUCAACCCCCGGUGGUGUCGUUUCCAGUGAAAACCGAACUCCGGGAUGUAGCCGGAUUGGAGAGAAGCGAGUGACGCGUGCGCCCCCUUCCUGCGGCGGAUGGAUGAACGACACCCACCGCAGUGAAAGACACAGGCUUUAAGCACAAGAGGAGGAUCUGGGUAUGUCUCUAAUCUUUUGUUACUCUCCAGAUAUUCUUGGCCCUGCACUUACAAGGGUAGGUGUAUUAGAAGGGAUGGGUAUGGAGGUUAGGAGUGGGGUCCAUCCACACGUGCUUCCAGCCCUGGAGACCAGCAGCAUGGAUGGGCCUCAGCCUAGCUGGGGUCGAGAGGCCAGCCACCUUUGGGAA